rnacentral:rRNA from 1 species
CAAGAUGUAGCAAUACAUUGUUGACGACCGGCGCACGGGUGAGUAACGCGUAUGUAACCUACCUUCUACAGGGGAAUAGCCCGGAGAAAUCCGGAUUAAUACCCCAUAACACAGGGACUCCGCAUGGAGAUAUUUGUUAAAGAUUAAUCGGUAGAAGAUGGGCAUGCGUUCCAUUAGCCAGUUGGUGAGGUAACGGCUCACCAAAGCAACGAUGGAUAGGGGAACUGAGAGGUUUAUCCCCCACACUGGAACUGAGACACGGACCAGACUCCUACGGGAGGCAGCAGUGAGGAAUAUUGGUCAAUGGGCGAGAGCCUGAACCAGCCAAGUCGCGUGAAGGAAGACUGCCUUAUGGGUUGUAAACUUCUUUUAUAUGGGAAUAAAAAGAGUUACGUGUAACUUAUUGCAAGUACCAUAUGAAUAAGCAUCGGCUAACUCCGUGCCAGCAGCCGCGGUAAUACGGAGGAUGCGAGCGUUAUCCGGAUUUAUUGGGUUUAAAGGGUGCGCAGGCGGUUUAUUAAGUCAGCGGUGAAAUCUAGAGGCUCAACCUCUAAACUGCCGUUGAAACUGGUAGACUUGAGUAUAGAUGAAGUAGGCGGAAUUCGUUGUGUAGCGGUGAAAUGCAUAGAUAUAACGAGGAACCCCAAUUGCGUAGGCAGCUUACUAAACUAU